AACGAACGCUGGCGGCAUGCCUAACACAUGCAAGUCGAACGAACCCUUCGGGGUUAGUGGCGCACGGGUGCGUAACGCGUGGGAACCUGCCUUUAGGUUCGGAAUAACAGUUAGAAAUGACUGCUAAUACCGGAUGAUGUCUUCGGACCAAAGAUUUAUCGCCUUUAGAUGGGCCCGCGUUGGAUUAGCUAGUUGGUGGGGUAAAGGCCUACCAAGGCGACGAUCCAUAGCUGGUCUGAGAGGAUGAUCAGCCACACUGGGACUGAGACACGGCCCAGACUCCUACGGGAGGCAGCAGUGGGGAAUAUUGGACAAUGGGCGAAAGCCUGAUCCAGCAAUGCCGCGUGAGUGAUGAAGGCCUUAGGGUUGUAAAGCUCUUUUACCAGGGAUGAUAAUGACAGUACCUGGAGAAUAAGCUCCGGCUAACUCCGUG
rnacentral:rRNA from 1 species